rnacentral:rRNA from 1 species
AAAUACACAAAAAAGGAACCAACCGGGAUUGCCUCAGUAACGGCCGAGUGAAGCGGCAAGAGCUCAAAUUUGAAAGCUGGCUCCUUCGGAGUCCGCAUUGUAAUUUGCAGAGGAUGCUUUGGGUGCGGCCCCCGUCUAAGUGCCCUGGAACGGGCCGUCAGAGAGGGUGAGAAUCCCGUCUUGGGCGGGGUGUCCGUGCCCGUGUAAAGCUCCUUCGACGAGUCGAGUUGUUUGGGAAUGCAGCUCUAAAUGGGUGGUAAAUUUCAUCUAAAGCUAAAUACUGGCCGGAGACCGAUAGCGCACAAGUAGAGUGAUCGAAAGAUGAAAAGCACUUUGAAAAGAGAGUUAAACAGCACGUGAAAUUGUUGAAAGGGAAGCGCUUGCGACCAGACUCGCCCGCGGGGUUCAGCCGGCAUUCGUGCCGGUGUACUUCCCCGUGGGCGGGCCAGCGUCGGUUUGGGCGGCCGGUCAAAGGCCCCUGGAAUGUAGUACCCUCCGGGGUACCUUAUAGCCAGGGGUGCAAUGCGGCCAGCCUGGACCGAGGAACGCGCUUCGGCACGGACGCUGGCAUAAUGGUCGUAAACGACCCGUCUUGAAACACGGACCAAGGAGUCUAACAUCUACGCGAGUGUUCGGGUGUCAAACCCGUGCGCGCAGUGAAAGCGAACGGAGGUGGGAGCCCCCUCGCGGGGCGCACCAUCGACCGAUCCUGAUGUCUUCGGAUGGAUUUGAGUAAGAGCGUAAAUGUGGGGACCCGAAAGAUGGUGAACUAUGCCUGAAUAGGGCGAAGCCAGAGGAAACUCUGGUGGAGGCUCGCAGCGGUUCUGACGUGCAAAUCGAUCGUCAAAUUUGGGUAUAGGGGCGAAAGACUAAUCGAACCAUCUAGUAGCUGGUUUCCUGCCGAAGUUUCCCUCAGGAUAGCAGUAACGCAAAAUCAGUUUUAUGAGGUAAAGCGAAUGAUUAGAGGCAUGGGGUUGAAACAACCUUAACCUAUUCCUCAACUUUAAAUAAUGUAAGAAGCCCUUGUUGCUUAGUUGAACGUGGGCAUUAAGAAUGGAGCGUUACUAAGUUGGCAAUUUUGUAAGCGAACUGCGAUGCGGGAUGAUCGACGCGAAGUAAGGUGCGAAUGCACGCUCAUCGAACCAACAAGGUUAGUCAUCUAAACGCCGACGGUGGCCAUGUAUCGAUCGAUAUGAGCGUUAAACACUCACGGCCGAAGUAACAUUGCCUG